GUUCCGUAGGUGAACCUGCGGAGGGAUCAUUACAGAGUUCAUGCCCUACCGGGUAGAUCUCCCACCCUAUGUUAUUAUUACUUUGUUGCUUUGGCGGGCCGUUAGGCUCCGGCCCGACUACCGGCCCCGGCUGGUAAGCGCCCGCCAGAGGACCCAAAACCCUGAAUAUUAGUGUCGUCUGAGUACUAUAUAAUAGUUAAAACUUUCAACAACGGAUCUCUUGGUUCUG
rnacentral:misc_RNA from 1 species